rnacentral:miRNA from 1 species
GUGCCGGAGCUCUGGUUUAGAGAGUAGCUCCGUGAGCGAUGCCCGCCUGUCACCCCAGCAGCUGGGGAGGCUGAGGCAGGAGGAU